rnacentral:lncRNA from 1 species
UAGGUAUUGCUUACAAGCGUAAAGUCAAGAAUAGAAAAUUGUAAGUAGCACCAAAUUUUGGAGUUCUACUUCUAUAUUUUAUAUAGAAGUAGAAUCUUAUCAAACUUUCUUCUCAAUUCCACAAUCAAGUUCAUAAAUCAGUAUUCUAUUAUUCUAUACACAUCUCUUACUCCUACAAAGUAGUUGUCAAAUUAACUUGGGGCUCUUUUUUUUUCUAGCCAUAGGCACCAACAAAAUUAAGUUCAAUGGUAACCCUCAAAAGAGAUGUACAUUUACACCCCAAAGGUGGUCAAGACGCUCUUUCUUCUUCUUCGUCUUCGUCUUGUCAAGAUGAAAGUAACUAUCAUAAACAAGAAGAAAAUCAUCAGAAUGCCGGAGAAGAUAUCAGACUCCGUGGGAAAAGUAAUGGCGAUGAUGAUGGUGAUGGUGAUGAGUCGGAUGAUCAUAGAAAGAAUAAUCAGGAGCUGAAUCUUCUUGAACGUUUAAACACAAAUAAUAGUCCAAUAUGUAAUGAAAAUGAUCUAACAUCAGAUGGUGCAGAGCCAAGAGUAUUCUCAUGCAACUAUUGUCAAAGGAAAUUCUACAGUUCACAAGCAUUAGGAGGACAUCAAAAUGCACAUAAGAGAGAAAGAAAACUAGCCAAAAGAGCUGGUCAAAGACCAAAUGGACAUCACCUUUUCAAUUUCACCCCUGCCGCUGCUGCUUUUGGCCAUAAUCCAUAUUUAAGAGUACAGCAUCAGAAUAACUAUAAUUAUGUUAGAAGCUUGUCUACUCUUCCUCUAAAUGGUGCAAAUUAUCACAACAAUUCUCUGGGAAUCCAGGCACAUUCAAUGAUCCAUAAAGCAACAAAUAGUAGUGGAAAUUGGUCAAACAGGCAAUUCAUCAAACACCAACCAGGUGUAGGAAAACUGUCUAUGAUUCCUAAAGGAAAUAUUUACUUCAUUCCCCAAGAAGAGAACAAAAGUGACUUGCAAAAGAUUGAUCUUUCUCUCAAGCUCUAGUUCUUUCCUUCUGCCAAAACCCCAUGUUCUUCAUUUUGUGAUAUUAUUCAGCCAACUUCGGGGUUUUGGUUCCUUUUCGUUAGUUCUUAAUUUUGUAUGACAUUUCCCUGUACGAUAGAUCAUUUGAUAUCAAGAAAUCCUUUUAGCUUUUGUUGAUUCCAUCAUUUAAACUUUUAGCUGUUUCAACAAUUUAUGAUGCUAAAUUCAAUACAAGCUACCACUUUUAGAGGUUUUUCAAAUUAUUUCAAGUAACACCAAAUUCUUUUCUGUUCAUGUUUAACAUAAGGCUAAUUUUGGGCCAAGUUUCUGAAUUCCAACAAGAUUUAACUCUCAGUUCUAGAAGCCAUAAAAGUCGAAAUAAAAUCAAGAUCUUUAGAUGGGACACCGUACUUUCCCUUUCACAUCAAUUUUCUACUUGCUCCCGUUCUCAAUAAGUGUCAAAUUUAAUUUUAGUACGUCCAUUAAAAAAUAUCAAAUUUUAUAUAAAAAUAUAAACUAUGACUAAAUUAUCCCUACUUAGAUAUUCAAUGUGAGGAGAAAAAAACUUUUUAGGGAUAUGCACAUAGGGGUUAUUUUGUAAAAACAAAUUAAAUUCUUUCUUGAUUACAUAACUAGAUAUUUAUUUUGAAUAAAAUAAAAAAGUAAAUUAGAUAUUUAUUAUGAAUCGAAAACACUAAAAGACAUUGAUUACACAUGUGGAUUUAGGGUGAGUUUUAUGGAUCAAAUUAAAUUAACCGAUAAACUCAUUGUUUUUGGUUCAAAUUAUGUAUCUUUGCAUACACAAGCUAAAGUGUAUACAUAUAAUAAGAUGACAAUCAUUAAAUAUUUAUAACUUUAAAUUUUAAAUUCGCUACGGCUCGAUUAUGUCUCUCGAGUUAAAUGUAGGCAAAUGGGACCUCGUAUGGAAACAUAAUACAAUUAUCGUUAAUGUACCCCGACAACAGUACCAGGUUUUCAGCAAUCAAGAAGAAUUAAUCCAGAAGCUAGCACGUUGCAAUCAAAGAGUUUGUCAAUUAUGGCACCCUCACAAGACUUUCAGUAAUUACAGCAAGUUGUCGGUUGUUUCCACAUAGUAUUAAACAACUCAUGAUAAUAAUAAUAGUACAAUUAAUAAAACCAUUAAUUAGGUUUAACUGGAUUUCAGCAUAAUUAAGAAACUCAAUGUGUGAACAAAUUGGACAGUGUUUCAACUGUUGAAGUAGUUAAAGAAAAUGACUGUUUAUUUUGUCUUAGUACGCAAAUAUUUUAUUGAAUGGCCCUAUCAUCAGCCAUUAAUUAAAGAGAUAAUGUUUAUCUACUUCAAUGACUCUGUACGGUGUCACAUUACAUUAUUUCAUAGCUAGAUCUUCCAAGAUUUGAUUCUUAAGUUAUAAUCUAAUAUGAUAGUGAGCCCACUUUUGCUUAAUAAUUAUUUAUUUUAGUUUUUUAUUACGUGAACUUUUUCACAGUUGGUAGGAUGAUCCAACCUGGAAGUAUAGGGUAUCUAUUUAUGACUUUCACUAGACACCUUGCUUUGACCCUAUAUAUGUGUCGAACGUGUAUUAUGUUGGCCAUGCGAACAAAUUAAAGUUUUGCAACAGAUUGAGUGUUUACAUAAAAGGUAUAGGAUCUUUUUAAUGGUGCAAAAUAUUUUAGAAAAAUCUGUGCAGGCUUGUACCAAAUUUUAGACGGAUAAUAUUACAUCAUGCUAAGAAUAUCUUUGCCUAUUUUAGCCUAACUAACUGGUUUCAAAACCCAAGUUAGGUGGAGCGAAUACAACAAUGGCAGAGUGAUGGUAUGGGACUCAAUUUACUUCCCUGAAGAAGUUUGUUGUAGGCUUCUGUUGCCAUAAAUACUCUAAUAAUAUGGGUAGCACACAGUAAAUCUCGAAAAUUAACUCGUAAAUUGUAAUAUUGGAUCACGUGGAACUUACUUCGAGGAAAAUUGUUGGAUGUGCAAGUAAAAUCCCACAUUGGUAGCUUAAAAUAUUCGGACUUGGGAGCAUACAUAUUAUAAGGUGUGAGAAUUUUUAUUGCCGUGGAUUCUUUUUAGAUAAAUUUAUAUAUGCUUGGUCCUAAAUAGACAAUAUUACGCCAUUGUUGGUCCAAGUUCAGAUGAAGUUUUGAAGAAUGACAAAUGAACUCAGUCAUGGACCAGGUCCAUUAUGUGAGACAUAGUGUUCAACCUAUACAUGUAAGAUGCACGUGAAGGAUAUAAGUCUCAAGGAUCAAGUAGCAAUAUCUUCUGAACUGAUCGAAAAGGUUGCAUAUUGGAUGAGGAGAAGAAGUCUCCUUAUGUGAAGUGAACACAAUCCGGAUCACGGAUACGGUUUGUAUUGUUCAAGGACUCAACUUCGAUGGAAUAUCAACGAUUGAGUCUCAAUCAAACUCUUAUUACUAACUCAUUAAAUAACUGUGGUUGUUCUCUUUUACAGGCAUUGCACAUACGCAGACGUUAAACAAAAUUAAGAGCAAAAGAACAAGACCAUUUUGCAAGUAAUUUAUGUGAGAUUUAAGUGUGCACUCCUGAAGCUACUUGAACGAAAUAGAAGAACCAGUCCAUUGUGUUUAUUCUUAUUCUAGUUCCAUUGUAGUAGGUGUUUUAAAGUUGUACCUUUCAGCUUUUGUAGAAGCAUUUGUAAUAGGUACUUUGAGUGAUCAAGAUAUUUGCUAACUUAGUUUUGUCGCAACGGUUAAGGUUGUGUGCUACAAAGGGAUUAGAGUUAAUCUUUAGGUUUACAAGAUUUUUGUAAAUGUUGUUUUGGCUCAUUGAUUUUAGUGAAUGUUUGGGAAAAUCCUACUGAGUAGUAAGUCGUGAUUUUUUCACUUUUUGAGCUAGGUGUUUUUCGCGUAAAAAUCUUUGUAUUCUUUAUUUGCUGUACUUUUAAUUUCACGAAUAGUAAUAGUUAGAACACCGUAGAAGAACCAGGUUCUUCUAGAUCGAUAAUUGGGUACCACACAAAUCACCCCCUCUUGUGUGGUAUUGACGUUUGGAACAUCAAUUGGUAUUAGAGCAGGUUAUCCUUGAAGAGGUUAACACCUUCGGAAAGAUCAACAUGAGUGCACCACCUGGUAACUGGGAAGGGCAAUCCACUGCUAGGCCUCCACUUUUCAAUGGUUAAUACCACUCUUGGUAGAAGAACAGAAUGAGGGAUCAUAUCAUAGGGGAGGUCUAUGAACUUUGUGACAUAGUCACUGAGGGUGACCUAGCAACAACAAAGAAGACUGUUGAAGGAUUAGAGGUACAAAAAACAAGAGUUGAUUUCAUUGCUGAAGAAUUGAACAAUGGAAAAGAAUGCUUAGGCCAAAAAAUGGCUUGUGUGUGGACUUGGUCCAGAUGAGUAUAUCAGGAUCCAAAGUUGUAAUACUGUUAAGGAAAUCCGGGUCACUUAGCAAGUGGCUCAUGAAGGAACACCUCAAGUAAAGAGGUCUAGAGGAACACUAUUGUAUUCUCAAUAUGAGAAUUUUACUAUACAGGAAGGAGAAACCAUCCAAGCGAUGUACACUAGGUUCACUACACUAACAAAUGAACCUAAGUCUCUUGGAAUGAUUAUUCUGGAAGAAUACAACGUUGAGAAAAUCUUGACAAGAGUUCUGCCGAUGCUUGGGAAGCAAAAUCACUACUAUCCAGAAAUCUAAGAAUACUACUACCCUCAAGAUGGAUGAACUGAUUGGAAAUCUUACUGCCUAUGAAUUGAGAAGACAAACCAUGAAGACGGAUGCUCCCAAGAAGGAAAGAAGUCUGGCUCUUAAAAUAUCUUAAGGUUCAGAUCUAGAGAAUGAUGAAAUGGCUAUGAUCACUAGGAAUUUAAAAAAGUGUCUGAUAAGAGGAAAUGGUUCUUGAAGAGGAACAACUUUCAACAAACCAAGGGCUUCUGAGAAACAGACCAAUGAGGUCUGCUUCAAAUGUAGUAAGACUGAUCAUAUGAUCAAGAAUUUUCCUCAAUGGGAGAUUGAAUGGAAUAAAGAAAGGAUUGAAAGAAGGAACAAGUUCAAUUAAGAAGAAACAAAGGGUCAACUAAGGUUAUGGUUGCUACAUGGGGAGAAACUUCAGAUGAGGACUUAGAAGAUGAAGUUGAAGAUGAGCAAGCUUUUAUGGCCGUCGGAGAAUCAGAUGAUGAACAAGAGGUAAGCAUUCUUUAUCUCAAAGACAAGAUUAAAUUUUUGUCCAAAGAAAGGCUGGCUGAGCUACUAUUAGACUUCAUUGAUGAGUCUAAGAUAGUUAACAGUAAGAAGGAAGUUCUAUCUAGGGAGCGUGUGAUCCUAAAAGCAAAAUGCAAGAGACUAGAGUCUAAGGCUGAUGAGAGUGAUAUAACAAAAAUUCUGAGUUGAAGAACCAGCUUCUUGAACUCGACAAUAGUGUCCUAGAACAUAGAUUUGAAAACAUAAAACUGAAACUAGGAACAGGAAAGAAGAAGGCUGAUCACUCAUAUCUCACUCUAGAAGAAAAUUGAAAGAUGAGUUGCAUAAGAAAGAGGAAUUGAUCAAAGUUUUAAAAGAAGAUUUAUGAAAAAUGAAAGAUGAACUAGAUAGAACUUGCAAGUGGAACAAGGCUUUUGAUGCUAUUUAUUGGUUGCAAGAACAUCAUAGUAGCAACAAAAGAGGACUUGGUUAUGGGAUUCAAGCUCCAAAAUAGGACCGUAAAACUAAGUACCUCACAUUUCCUGAUAAUAAAAUCUGCACACAUUGUGAUAAGACUUGACAUUACAAAAAUAAAUGCAAUCCAAAAGAAAAGGCCAGUCAAAAGAACAAUCUUUUGUUCAAGAGCAGAGCAUCACAGUAGCAACAAAAGAAGACUUGGCUAUGGGACUCAAGCUCCAAAAUGGGACCUUGAAACAAGUACCUCACACUUUCUGAGAAUAAAAUCUGUACACAUUAUGAUAAGACUGGCCAUUACAAAAAUGAAUGCAAUGCAAAAGAAAAUGCCAGUCAAAAGAACAAAGUCUUUGUUCAAGAGAAAUACAAGCUGCCUGGGUAGGCAAGAAAGAAUCUGGUUCAUCCUUUUACCCACAGAAAGGGACCCAAACUAGUUUGGGUUCCUAAGACUAACCCCUGAUUUCUUUUUGCAGGUCCAAGUGAAAGAGAUGAGCCAAAUAUGAUAUAUGGAUAGUGGCUGCUCAAAACAUAUGACUGGGAACAAGGACCAAUUUCUUUCACUUGGGGACCUAAAAGGAAGUAAUGUCUCCUUUGGUAAUGGAAAGAAAGAUGAGAUUAUUGAGGUUGGAAAGGUAGGUAAGACAGACUCUCAUUCCAUUGAGAAUGUCUACUUGAUAGAUGGCUUGAAAUAUAGCCUAAUAAGUGUGUCACAACUGUGUGAUAGAAGUAACCUUGUAGCUUUCACCUCUACCAAAUGCAUUGUGAUUAAUCUUACUACUGACAAGAUUGUUUUACAGGAAAAAGAGUUAACAAUAUUUACAUUGUAGAUUUGUCAACUCUUUCAGAAAACAAACCCACUUUCUUAAGUGUGUUGGUUAAUGAUCCCCUUCUGUGGCACAAAAGACUUGGUCAUACGAGUCUAAAUCAGCUAAACAAAUUAGUCUCCAAGUACUUGGUGAUAGGGUUACCCAAGAUCAAGUUCAAGGAAGACGAAGUUUGUGAGGCAUGUGCAAGGGAGAAACAUGUAAGAUCAUCCUUGAAAACCAAGAAAAUGGUAAGUACGUCCAAGACGUUGGAACUGGUUCAUACGAAUCUUUGUCGUCCAAUGAGAAGCAUAAGCAGAGGUGGAAAGAAAUAUGUAAUGGUACUUGUUGAUGAUUAUUCUAGAUUUACCUGGGUANNNNNNNNNNNNNNNNNNNNNNNNNNNNNNNNNNNNNNNNNNNNNNNNNNNNNNNNNNNNNNNNNNNNNNNNNNNNNNNNNNNNNNNNNNNNNNNNNNNNNNNNNNNNNNNNNNNNNNNNNNNCCAAUGCCAUUGUGAAAAAUGGGGUUGAAUCAACUUGCAUCCAUUAGGUCUGAUCAUGGAACUGAAUUUGAAAAUGCAAAGUUUGCUGAAUACUGUGAUGAAAAUGGUGUAGAUCAUAACUUCUCUGCCCCUAGGGUUCCUUAACAAAAUGGAUUAGUUGAAAGGAAGAACAAGACCCUUGAGGAUAUGGCAAGGACCAUGCUUCUUUCUAGUAAACCACCUCACAGCUUCUGGGCAGAGGCUGUUAAUACUAUAUGUUACAUAUUCAAUAAAUGCAUGACUAGACCUCUUGUAGAGAAAACUCCCUAUGAGUUACUUAAAGGAAGAAAACUAAACAUAUCUCAUCUUAGGGCAUUUGGUUGCAAGUGCUGUGUGCACAAUAAUGGAAAAGACUCCCUAGGUAAGUUUGAUCCGAAAAGUGAUGAGGGAGUAUUCUUGAGACAUUCCUCACAAAGCAAAUCAUGUAAAGUGUUCAAUAAAAGAAUUUUGUCUGUAGAGGAAAGUGUGCAUGUAGUAUUUGAUGAAAUAACAUUCUUUCUGAGAGAUAGGAACAUGGAGAUGAAGCCAUUGGACUGGUAAAGGAAUUGAUUGAAUCUCCAGCACAGGUCAAAGAGGCAUCAAGAGAAGAAACAGGUGGUGGAACAGGCUCUUCCAAUCAGGGAAACCUGACAGGGGGAACUAAUCAGGGAGAAAUUGAAUCAAAUUCCCUAAAAGAACAUGUUCCUCAACAAGAGAAAAACGGAGAAACAUCUAGUAGAAACCAGUUGGUUGUGAAAUCCCACAAGUAUCAAAGUUCUCAUCCCAUUGAGAACAUCAUUAUUGAUUCAACAUCCGGAGUCAAAACCAGAUCACAACUAAAGAAUCUAUGUGCAUUUGAUGCCUUUCUAUCUCUUAUUGAACCUAAAAAAUCCAACAUCUGGGGUCAAAACUAGAUCACAACUAAAGAAUCUGUGUGCUUUUGAUACUUUUCUAUCUCUUAUUGAACCUAAAAAUAUUGUUGAGGCUUUGACGGAUGUAUAUUAGGUGAAUGCAAUACAGUAUGGACUCAAACAAUUUUAAAGAACUCAAGUUUGACAUCUAGUUCUAAGACCCAAGGACAGAUAAGUCAUUGGCACAAAAUGGGUCUUCAUGAAAAAACUAGAUAAAGAUGGAACAAUUAUAAGAAACUAGGCAAGACUGGUGGUUCAAGGCUACAACCAAGAGGAGGGCAUUGACUAUGCUGAGAAAUUUGCUCCAAUAGCAAGACUAGAGGCAAUCAGACUCCUCAUAGCCUUUGCAGCACACAUGGAAUUCAUUCACCAUCAGAUGGAUGUCAAAAGUGCCUUCUUGAAUGGCUACCAAAAGGAAGAAGUGUUUGUGAAACAACCCCAGGGUUUGAAUGUAAGGAAUAUCCUGAGCAUGUGUAUAAGCUAGACAAGGCUCUAUAUGGGCUCAAGCACGCCCGAAGAGCCUGGUAUGAAUGGCUAUCAAAAUUCCUACUGGAGCAUGGUUACAAAAGAGGUAAAAUUAACAGUACCUUGUUCUUAAGGGAAAAAGGUAAAGACCUCCUUGUUGUGCAAAUAUAUGUUGAUGGCAUAAUAUUUAGGGCCACUACUGAUAGGUUGAGUAAGGACUUUGCAAAACUAAUGGGGAGUGAGUUUGAAAUGAGCAUGAUGGGUGAUCUUAAUUUCUUCUUAGGCUUGCAGAUGAAACAAAGUCCAAAUAGAACCAUGAUCCAUCAGUAGAAGUAUACAAAAUUACUAAACAAAAAGUUUAAAAUAGAAGAUUCUAAAGAAAUAGAUACACUUAUUGCAACUGCCACUAAAUUAGAUAUUGAUGAACCUAGUUCAUCAGUUGAUCAAAAGUUGUAUAGGGGUAUGGUUGGUUCACUCUUGUAUCUUACUACCAGCAGACCUGAUAUUUUUUUCAGUAGGGCUUUGUGCUCACUUGCAUGCUAAUCCAAAAGAGUCCCACUUAAAUGUUAUCAAGAAGGAAUUAAGAUAUCUGAAAUUCACCACUAAUCUAUGUCUUUGGUAUCCCAAAGGUAGUAAUUUUAAUAUAUUAGGAUAUGCUGAUACUGAUUAUGCAGGUUCUCUAGUGGAUAGGAAGAUCCCAUCAGGUAUGGCACACUUUCUUGGUUCAUGUCUUCUGUUUUGGGCUACCAAAAAGCAAAAUUCAGUAGCCCUAUCUACUGCUAAAGCUGAAUAUGUUGAUGCUGCUUCUUGUUAUGCUCAGUUGCUAUGGAUCAAACAACAGUUGGUAGAUUUUGGAAUUGAAGUGGGAUGUAUACCAAUAUUCUGUGAUAACACUAGUGCUAUAANNNNNNNNNNNNNNNNNNNNNNNNNNNNNNNNNNNNNNNNNNNNNNNNNNNNNNNNNNNNNNNNNNNNNNNNNNNNNNNNNNNNNNNNNNNNNNNNNNNNNNNNNNNNNNNNNNNNNNNNNNNNNNNNNNNNNNNNNNNNNNNNNNNNNNNNNNNNNNNNNNNNNNNNNNNNNNNNNNNNNNNNNNCAUAGAUGUUAGACACUACUUCUUAAGAGAUAACUAUGAGAAAGGAUUGAUUUCAAUAGAAUUCUGUGCUACUGAUAAACAAAUAGCUGACAUCUUCUCUAACACUAAAAAGAGAAAACUUUGAGAGGAACAGGUUGGAAUUAGGGAUGAUUAAGAUCACCUAAUAGGUCUAGUUCAGAAUGCACAAUGAAACAAAAAAUUGAAAAAAAAUUAUUUUCUUUGGUUAGGAGUUCUAACUUUGUGUAAAUAUCUAGAUUAAUUAUUACUCAGUCUCAUACUUUAAUCAGUAUACUCCUGUGACAUGUGUUUAUAUGACUCACUGAUCUCUUACAAAGGUUUUUCUAUUCUGACACUUGAGACAUGUUCAAGAGAGUUCUACUUGAAGAACCUGGUUCAUGAGUCUAUGCUCAUGAGAAAGUUCAGGUAUGUUUUCUAUACUUUGCAAAAUUAGAAAGAUUAAUUUUUCAAUCAUGAGCAGAAGUCCUAUAUUCACCAAACUCCUACAAAUUCUAUCCUUUGAGCAUUUAACCAGUUCCGCUAUCCUAGAAAUCUAAAAAAUAGGAUUUUUGCCUAAAAUCUAGCAUCGCCUAAUAAUCACUAAGAGACCGGAUUUCUACCUUGAUUAGACUUCUACUUGAAUACUAAAAAAUCUAUCAUUACCUUUAUUAAUUCUAAUUACCUUUAAAUACACACCAUACCAUUCCUUAUUAGUCCAUAAUCGUCAAUAAUCCCUCUCUAGCUCUGAUCAUCUUCUUUCUCUCCAAAAUUCCCAAAACUUCUCCAGAAAUAAUUCACCACAACAAAUCCCCAAGAUAAUCUAGUGCUUGCUUUUCAAAUCGACGUCGCGCCUACUUGUGGCACUCCCCCACCAGUACCCCAUAAUACGUCUUCAUCUACUCCUCCUAGUGUUUCCCCAAAACCUAGGUUUCAUAGACAGAAAAUGUUGGCUAGAAAAACUGUGGCUUCUGGGUCUCUAAGAAAAGCCAUAAAUGAGAAAUUAAGGGCUAGACAGAAGAAUGAGAGUCCUACUAAAGAAUAUGACUCAAGAUCUGAGUCUGAAGAUUUUAUCUCUGCCAGUGAAGGAGAAGAACAUGAGUCUUUCGACACUGACAAAAUCAAGAAACACCUGGUGAGGCGAUUAUUUGCUUGGUAUUCUCUGAUGUGAUAGUAACAGUAGAUAAUACGUUUUGUUUGGUUGGUUCUGUAAAAUAUAUAAAGGGGGCUAAGUCGAGUAGGAAGGGAAGUAAAAAAAGAAAGAAAAAGUUCUUGCUAUCGGUGGAGGUAUGGAGGAGAGGGGCAACAAGUCCCGGGGAAGUGGUUCUGGCGAGGCUGGUGAAGGCCUUGUUCAUCUAAGCAAGCAACAAGAUGAACCUGGUUCAUCUAUUGAGGAAAUCCUAGCUGGCAUUCUGAAAAAGGUUGGAGCCAACUAUGAUCCAAAGAAGUAAAAAGCUUCCUCACAAAAGGCUCCAACUGCUUCCAAGCCAAUAAAGAAAAGAAAAGUGUCAUCUCCUAAGCCUAUUGUUCCUUCAGUACCAAAGGGAAGAGCUACUAAAAUUAGGGUCAAACAAAGUAAAAUAGAGUUCCAGAAAGCUCUGGAAGAAAGCAGGAAAAGAAUAAGAAGCAAGGAAAGGCAAAUGUUGUGGAAAGUUCUGAGGCUGCAGAAGAGGAAGAGGAGGAGGUGGAACUGGUCCAUCAAGAAAGAGAAACAGCUAUGGAGGUUCCUACCCCCAAAACCAAAAAGAUCCAAGACUUCUUCCAAGAAGUCUUCCUCUGAACCUAUAUCUGCUGAACCCUCCUUAUCCAAAAGAACCAGAUAUGUAGUAAAAGCGAAACAAGUAAAAAUUACUGAAGAAGAAAAAGAAUAGUAUGGAGAAGAAGAAGAGCAGGAGUGUGAGAAAGAACAUGAUAGGUUUUCCAUCUUUGGCAAAAGAAAUUUUUUGAAAGGCAGGUUGUUGAAAGACCUGGAUGAGCCAGGAAUGAGAAGAUUGGUGGAUACCCUAGCUACACAAGAGUUGAAGGACAUGGUCCUUAAAAUGGAUGGGAGGCUUUCUAGGAAGGAGCUGAUUGAGUUCAUGGCUAAUGCCACUAUGAAAAAUGGGGUAGUCACCAGCCUGGUGAAAGGAGUAAAGGUGCAGUUUGAUGCACCCAAAUUGGGUGAGAUUCUGGACAUACCCAGUGUGGGUUAUGAUGAUUAUAUUAGGCAGAGAUGACCUUGUCUAGAUUCUCUCCCUACUUUUCUCCAAAUCACCAGAAAUUUCUGUGAUACUAAAGUUGCUGAAGAUGUGCCUAAGGCUAGGUUUGUGUAGAAAAGUGAGAUGAGGACUAUGCACAAGGUGCUGUUUGAGUUUGUUAAAAAAUGCUUGCUUCCUAGAUAGUAACGAAGACACACUACCAACUACGUGGACCUGGUUCUUAUGGAGUGCUUUGUGUGAGGAAUUCAGAUAAACUGGCAUGCUUUCAUUGUGAAACUAUUGGAUAGGGUCAUUAAUGGAUCCCAGGAUCAUGCUACUCCAUAUGGGUUUAUACUGACUAUUAUUAUGGACAGGCUUAAUGUGUCUUUGAAGAAAUGGGAGAUGGCAUCCAGCAAGGAGAAAUUUGGUGUCAAAACUCUUUAGGCUUGUGACUAUCCACUCAAUGCAACCCCAGUUGAACCUGGUUCAUCCCUGAAGACUCCUGUGAAUAGCAAGGUUAGGGCCUUGGUUCAAGAAUGUGGAAUUAAAGAUGCUGAAAUUGCUAGGCUCCAGGCUCAUGUUGCUGAAUUAGAAAUGUAGAGAGAUUACCUUAGAGCUGAGCUAGCAAAGGAAAAGGAAAAGAGUGAUGGAAUGGUGCAGAAUAUUCUCAACCUUCUCCAAUCCCAACCCUCUAGCUCCUCCAAGACUUAGGUCUUCCAGUUCCUAUUUUUCGAACCAGUCUAGAACUCCCCGGUGACCCAGAUUCGGUGUUUGGACGGGUUUCUUUCUUUUUAUGGUCUGUUUGUGGAAACAUAUCCUAAUCAAAUGAAAAUUUGCUUUUUCUCUUGUUCUAUGAAGAUUCUGAUCUUAAUAGUUUAUUUUUGUUAGUUGAUUGUUGAUUAAUUGAACCAUGUUUUCACUUGAAGUUGCCCCAGUGGCCAUAAGUAAUUAUUAAAAAGGGAUUCAUAAUAUAUGCAACUUUCGAUGAUGUCAAAAAGAGAAAGAGAUAUUGUGCUUUACUCUUUAUUCUGAAUAAUGUGAUAUUUAUAACAUGAUUAAACUUGGUCCUUUAUGAUAAGUUAAAAUUUCUAAGUUAAAAUGUUGAUGAUUAAGAUGAGUUCCACAGGUUCUCUGAUCAGUAAAAGCAUGGAGUUUGUCAUCAUCAAAAGGGGGGAAUUUGUUAGUCCAAGUUCAGAUGAAGUUUUGAAGAAUGACAAAUGAACUCAGUCAUAGACCAAAUCCAUCAUGUGAGACACAGUGUUUAUCGACAUAUACAUGUGAGAUGUACGUGAAGGAGAUAAGUCACAAGGAUCAAGCAACAAUAGCUCCUGAACUGAUCGAAAAGGUUACAUAUUGGAUGAGGAGAGGAAGUAUCCUUAUGUCAAGAGAACAUAGUCCGGAUCGGGAUUGGAGUUUGGCCAGUGGGUUUCCGAGUCUUGGAUGUUGUUACAUUAUUAGGAGUUGAAGUGUAUGUGCCAGGCGGCACCCUAUACAUUUUCUUAUGUUAUUUGUAUUGUUUAUCGUUUUUCGUAAAGAUUGUUGAAUUUUCGCAAUGUGCUAGGCUUACCUAGUCGCGAAGACUGGGUGCCUUCAUGACAGGUUCACGAUUGGUGAACUAUGAUCGUGACACUUUACUCGGCACUUAUUAUAAUAAUCAGAAUUUUCCUAUAAAAUAGAGUACAUAUAACCACAAAUUAUAAAAAACAAAUUAGUUUCGAGCAUGUGAGUAUCACCCUCUAAAUGUUUACUUUGUUUAUUCUAUAGGAAGCUACAUACGAUAACGACAUGAAUUUAAUAGAAUAUACAAAAAAUAAUAAAAGUUUAUGCCACAUUAAGCGGACAGGUAGAAAGACAAGUCAGGUUAGAAGAAGGAAAAUAUAAUUUACCGCAAAGAAAAUAACAAAGCAUAUGCUAUUACAGAUAUCACGGCUACUCGCAAACAACUUAAUGAAUCAAUUUCCCGAGCGCAAAAGUUAUAUUGGUGAGUAUUUCUUUACCUAUUGCACGAUUGCAAUCACAACUUAGUGUCACGCUAUAAAAGUCAAAUUUAUCUAAGGGCACCGUUUUGGCUCGAACAAAAAUAAUGUAAACUACAUCCUGAAAUGGUGCAAAUAGACGGGAAGAGUAAGGUAAAUAACCAAAUUCUGGAACAUUCAACAGACGACUAUUGUUACUCUAUGGUAAGAUUAAGUUUCAACAAUGUAUGAUCCCUUGUGUUAUUUAUAAUUGCAGAAGUACUCAAUCAUAACUUCCUAGCUCUUCAAUAUAAUCAAAAAAGAGAACAUUGGCAUUUACUGCUGCCUGAUAAACAUUGCUAUUCCAGCGUAUAGUUAGCACUUAAUUUGACCACACUGGAAAAGCUCAAGGGUAGAAGCAACAAAAAAAGUAAUGAGUUUCUGGAGAAAACUAAAUUAAAAUACUUGAGUAAUGUAACAUAAUACAACACCUAACUAACCUAAGCAAAUAGGUAAGGCCGUAUAGACGCAUCGACGCUACUCAAUAAGGAGAGAAACACAAAGAUAUAUGCAAAGUAACCAAGCAACAUAUGCACUGAAUGGCUGAAUCCCUUAAAAUUGCAGCUCUAACGCCAAAAAUAGUUGCUGUAAACCAGGCAUAAAUCACCUUUAAAGCUCUAUUAAAACCCAGUUUAGGUAUGAAUUAUGUUCGUAACUAAAGGAAUCCAAAAAUGUGGACCAGAUAAACACAAUCUCUGGAAUUUGAAGCACAUCUAGAUCGUUUAAGUUUACUCUUUCAAAUUCUGUGACAAUAUACAUGGAAAUACUAUUCAACUUUCUUCCUAGGUAUGAAUUGUGUACACAGACAGCAUUGUCUCACGUUUCCUUCUACCCUGCAGAGGGUAAUCAGGCUCAUAGACACAUCGACGCUAAUCCAACAAAGCAACAUAUAAAUCUGCUUCUUGGGAACUGCAACAGUAAGAUUUUUGACAGAAUAUGCAGCUACUUUUUUGAGGUUUCACGCACAGAGCAAACUUGGGAAGCAAUCAUUUUUGGAUUCUAGAUAAUUAUAGAAGCUCCAUUAAAACCACCCUUAAACUCCAUCGACAAAUAUAUUAGGCAGUUAUUAUAAUAAAUGAUUUUGUAUUAAAAAUCAGUAGAUAAUUAUAAAAGUUCAUACCAUUAUUAUCCGGGGAUAUUUAGGUCGUUUCUGGUUCUUGCUGCAUAUUUUGGUUUUUCUUGCGAGUUUCUUCUGUUCUUCCAUGUCAAAGUGCCGUCGAAACUGAUUUUGGUGUGAGAAGUUGUAGAUUAAAUUGGAAAUUUUGUGGAGUCUUUUGGAAAUAUUAGAUAACAUAUUGAUAACAGGACUAUUUCCUAAGACAAAAUAAUGUACUGUAGGCAAACCUAGAAUCAUGGAAACCUUGGAUUGAUAUAUUGCCGUUGAUAUUGGAGGUUGAUCGAAUUUUCGCAGAGAGAAAUUAAAACUGCUUGUUUGAGAAGUUGUAGCGUUAUUUGGAGAAGACAGGGUAGUUGGCGUUUUUUCUAUUGUUUUGGGCUUUUUGCACAGGCUUUUUUACGGUUAUGGGUCAGAUUUG